UUUGUUUGUUUUGCACCCUUG
rnacentral:piRNA from 1 species